rnacentral:misc_RNA from 1 species
ACUGCAGGACUAUUAUUUACCUAAGAUAUUUUAUAUAUUAAUGCACCUGCUUCCCAAGGCCUGAAAGCUGAGCAUCUGUAUAUUCUCAUCGGGGUCUCAGUGGUCUUCCUCUUCUGUCUCCUCCUCCUGGUCCUCUUCUGCCUCCAUCGCCAGAAUCAGAUAAAGCAGGGGCCCCCCAGAAGCAAGGACGAGGAGCAGAAGCCACAGCAGAGGCCUGACCUGGCUGUUGAUGUUCUAGAGAGGACAGCAGACAAGGCCACAGUCAAUGGACUUCCUGAGAAGGACAGAGAGACAGACACCUCGGCCCUGGCUGCAGGGAGUUCCCAGGAGGUGACGUAUGCUCAGCUGGACCACUGGGCCCUCACACAGAGGACAGCCCGGGCUGUGUCCCCACAGUCCACAAAGCCCAUGGCCGAGUCCAUCACGUAUGCAGCCGUUGCCAGACACUGACCCCAUACCCACCUGGCCUCUGCACCUGAGGGUAGAAAGUCACUCUAGGAAAAGCCUGAAGCAGCCAUUUGGAAGGCUUCCUGUUGGAUUCCUCUUCAUCUA